GACGAACGCUGGCGGCGUGCUUAACACAUGCAAGUCGAACGGAAAGGCCCUGCUUUUGUGGGGUGCUCGAGUGGCGAACGGGUGAGUAACACGUGAGUAACCUGCCCUUGACUUUGGGAUAACUUCAGGAAACUGGGGCUAAUACCGGAUAGGAGCUCCUGCUGCAUGGUGGGGGUUGGAAAGUUUCGGCGGUUGGGGAUGGACUGGCGGCUUAUCAGCUUGUUGGUGGGGUAGUGGCUUACCAAGGCUUUGACGGGUAGCCGGCCUGAGAGGUGGACCGGCCAAAUGGGGCCGGAGAUAGGGCCCAGACUCCAAGGGGGGGCAGCAGGGGGGAAUAUUGAACAAGGGGGGGAAGCUUGAUGCAGCAACGCCGCGUGCGGGAGAACGGCUUUGGGGUUGUAACCCGCUUUCGCCUGGGACGAAGCGUGAGUGACGGUACUUGGUAAAGAAGCACCGGCUAACUACGUG
rnacentral:rRNA from 1 species